CAGGAAAAAACUACUAUCACCAUGGAGGCAGUGUCCUUCGAUGAUGUGGCUGUGAACUUCACCAUGGAAGACAGGGCUUUGUUAGAUCUAUUCUAAAAGAAGCUCUACAGAGAUGUGAUGUUGGAAAACUUUAGGAAUGUAGCUGCUAUAGGGAGAAACUGGGAUUGAAGAUGUGUACAGAAAUUGCAGGGGAAAUUUAAGAGGUGAAGAGUUCGAGAAAUGCUGUGAAUACAAAUUAUGGUAUCAACAUGGAGAAGUGGUUUUUUUUUUACUCCAGGUAGUAAUCCGAAUAUGAAACAAUUUGGUACAGAACCAUGUGAAGGCCUUGCCUAUAGAAAGCUCCUGAUUGGUCAUUCAUCAUCAACUGUGCCCAUCAUAACUACCACUGAACUCGAAUCAUAUGAGUAUCAGGGAUUUGAAGAGAAGCUGCCUAAAUGUUCCAAACAUGGGAAAAUUUGCACUGACAUCCAGUCCUUUCAGAAGCAUGCAAAGACAAAUCCUAGAAUGAAACCAUGAAUAUGCACAAUAUGGAAAAUUAUACUAUAGUUGCACUGAAGGAAGAAACACUGAAGAGAAAACCUUUGUAUAUAAGCAAGAUGUAAAAGCUUUCAGUACAGCAAGCUACGUUCAAAUCUGUGAAGGAAAUCAUAGUAGAAAGAAUACCUAUAUAGGGCGUUUGGAAAGAUUCAGACCUGGACCUUGACAAUAGUAAUCAAGCCUUCCUCUGCAGGUGUUGGGAGGAUUCACUAAUCUAAGAACACCUAAAUCCUGUAUACCGUUACUAGCAGGUUUAGACUAAGAUCAAGCCAAGGAUACCAGUGAAUUUCUGGUUUCAGUUCAUUGGCACGUUUGUUAAUUACUAGUUGUUGCACAGCACAGAACCACAUCACUGGGCAGCUCAGAGCCUCGCACACGGUACUCACAGCCAGUCCAGAGCAGGGAUCCUGGUGCAGAGGAUGCCAACAUCAAGGUCUGCACUGGGACGCAGCUGAGAGGAGAUCCCCUUCCAAGCCGGAGUGUGCUGUCAGGGUUAUUUCCAUGCUCAGGGCACGACGGUCUCACUAGUGAGGGAUUCAAACAAUGAAAGAUAUAAUACAAUGCCUACAGAAACUCUUUGAAAAGAUACAUGAGAGAGAAGAGUUCUUCCCAACUUAUUGUGUGAGGCCAGAUUUCUUGGAUACAGAAAACUCAAAAAUAAAAUAAGAG
ensembl:lncRNA